GACGAACGCUGGCGGCGUGCCUAACACAUGCAAGCCGAGCGAGAGACUUCGGUCUCUAGCGGCGGACGGGUGAGUCACACGUGGGUAACCUGCCUCAAACAGGGGGAUAGCCUCCCGAAAGGGCGAUUAAUACCGCAUGACAUCACGCUAUCGCCUGAUAGUGUGACCAAAGGAGUAAUCCAGUUUGAGAUGGGACCGGGGCGCAUUGGCUAGUUGGUGAGGGAACGGCUCACCAAGGCGACGAUGCGUAGCCGACCUGAGAGGGUGAGCGGGCACAUUGGAACUGAGACACGGUCCAGACUCCUACGGGAGGCAGCAGUGGGGAAUAUUGCACAAUGGGGGAAACCCUGAUGCAGCAACGCCGCGUGAGUGAUGAAGGCCUUCGGGUUGUAAAGCUCUGUCUUUGGGGACGAUUAUGACGGUACCCAAGGAGGAAGCCACGGCUAACUACGUGCCAGCAGCCGCGGUAACAC
rnacentral:rRNA from 1 species